GCUGACGAUAAUAGCUUGGAGGUACCACCUGAUCCCUUCCCGAACUCAGAAGUGAAACUCCAAUGCGCCAAUGGUAGUGUGGUUCGCCCAUGUGAGAGUAGGUCAUCGUCAGCU
rnacentral:rRNA from 4 species